rnacentral:rRNA from 1 species
UACAGAGGUCCCAAGCGUUGUUCGGAUUCACUGGGCGUAAAGGGCGCGUAGGCGGCCCGGUAAGUCACAGGUGAAAUCCCUCGGCUCAACUGAGGAACUGCCUUUGAAACUGUCGGGCUUGAGGCCGGGAGGGGGUAGCGGAAUUCCCAGUGUAGCGGUGAAAUGCGUAGAUAUCGGGAGGAACAUCAGUGGCGAAGGCGGCCUUCUGGUCCAGUACUGACACUCAAGUGCGAAAGCGUGGAGAGCAAACAGG